GACGAAGGAUGCAAGCGUUAUCCGGAUUCAUUGGGUUUAAAGGGAGCGUAGGUGGCCAUAUAAGUCAGUGGUGAAAUCUCUCGGCUUAACUGAGAAAUUGCCAUUGAUACUGUAGGGCUUGAGUAUAGUUGCCGUUGGCGGAAUAUGACAUGUAGUGGUGAAAUACAUAGAGAUGUCAUAGAACACCGAUUGCGAAGGCAGCUGACGAAACUAUAACUGACACUGAGGCUCGAAAGUGCGGGGAUCAAACAGGAUUAGAUACCCCAGUAGUCC
rnacentral:rRNA from 1 species